UAAGGAAUAUUGGUCAAUGGAGGCAACUCUGAACCAGCCAUGCCGCGUGCAGGAAGACGGCCCUCUGGGUUGUAAACUGCUUUUAUUCGGGAAUAAACCUAUCUACGUGUAGAUAGCUGAAUGUACCGAAGGAAUAAGGAUCGGCUAACUCCGUGCCAGCAGCCGCGGUAAUACGGAGGAUCCAAGCGUUAUCCGGAUUUAUUGGGUUUAAAGGGUGCGUAGGCGGCCUAUUAAGUCAGGGGUGAAAGACGGUAGCUCAACUAUCGCAGUGCCCUUGAUACUGAUGAGCUUGAAUGAACUAGUGGUAGACUGAAUGUGACAAGUAGCGGUGGAAUGCAUAGAUAUGUCACAGAACACCGAUUGCGAAGGCAGCUUACUAUGGUUUUAUUGACGCUGAGGCACGAAAGCGUGGGGAUCAAACA
rnacentral:rRNA from 1 species